rnacentral:tRNA from 1 species
GCCUGGGUGGCUCAGUCGGUUGAGCAUCUGACUUCGGCUCGGGUCAUGAUCUCGUGGUUUGUAGGUUCGAGCCCCACAUUGGGCU